AGAACCCCACCCUUGUGUAUAUUAUAUUGUUGCUUUAGCAGGUCGCCCUCUGGGCGUCGGCCUCGGCUGACUGUGCCUGCUAGAGGACCCUAAAUUUUGAAAUACAGUGUCGUCUGAGUACUAUUUAAUAGUUAAAACUUUCAACAACGGAUCUCUUGGUUCUGGCAUCGAUGAAGAACGCAGCGAAAUGCGAUAAGUAAUGUGAAUUGCAGAAUUCAGUGAAUCAUCGAAUCUUUGAACGCACAUUGCGCCCCUUGGUAUUCCGGGGGGCAUGCCUGUUCGAGCGUCAUUUAGACCAACUCCCGCUCCGGCGGGGUCUUGGGCUGCGCCUUUGGGCGGGCCUUAAAACCAGUGGCGGUGCCCUAAGGCUCUACGCGUAGUAAUUCUUCUCGCGAUAGGGUCCUUGCGGUGUCUUGCCAGCAACCCCCAACUCUCUAGGGUUGACCUCGGAUCAGGUAGGGAUACCCGCUGAACUUAAGCAUAUCAAUAAGCGGAGGAA
rnacentral:rRNA from 1 species